CAGCAGGUAGCGGGGGCUCUCAGGAAAGAAGGGCAGCAAGAGGAGCUGCAGGCCGGCAGGGACUCCAGUCAGACCCAGGAGGAUUGGCCAGCCUGCAAGCAAGGGUCUAGGGUCACAGAAGCCUGGAAGGAGUGGAGACCUUUUUCUCCACUCUCUGAACUGCGCCAGGCACUCUGCACCUUCACCCUGAGGGAGGACCAGGGCUCUUUGGGGACAAAGUUUGACUUUUUCAGUGGACGUCUGGUGACUUUUUACACAGUGGCUGAGGCAUGACUGACCACAGCACACCGAGAAGCUGGGCAAACAAAAACAAAAUCUGGUAAUGGCAAACGUGGGCACGGACGCGGGGGGAAAUGGGAAGUCUCCGUGUGUCGCUGUAUGUACUGAGACAACCCUGCCAUCCCACCCCAGGUGUGUGCCCAGAGACGCUUGUGUAGGGGGGACAAGGACACCUAAACUGGAGUGGUCAGAGCAGUGCUGAUAAACUCGGAAACAAAAGCAACAGUAAUGCUAACGGCCGUGACACAGAAGGACACAGAAGCCACCCUGUGGUCCUAGGACGGAACUAAAUACUGAGGAAAACAGCGAUGGCCCGGACAGAUCUGUCCAGCGUGGUGCGUUAUGUGAAGGGCUGGACGGAUGGCUCGGUGGCUAAGAGCACUUGAUCUGGAUUCGGUUUCUAGCACCCAGGCAGUGGUCUCAUGCAGUCCAGGCUGGCCUGGAACCUUUGUCUUCCUGUCUCAGCCUUCUGGGGGCCGGGAUUGCAGAUGCACCAUGGUGCCCAGUAGCUGGGGACCGAACCCAGG
rnacentral:sRNA from 1 species